GACGUAGGGCGCGAGCGUUGUCCGGAUUUAUUGGGCGUAAAGAGCUCGUAGGCGGCUUAUCGCGUCGACCGUGAAAACUUGGGGCUCAACCCCAAGCCUGCGGUCGAUACGGGCAGGCUCGAGUUCGGUAGGGGAGACUGGAAUUCCUGGUGUAGCGGUGAAAUGCGCAGAUAUCAGGAGGAACACCGGUGGCGAAGGCGGGUCUCUGAGCCGAUACUGACGCUGAGGAGCGAAAGCGUGGGGAGCGAACAGG
rnacentral:rRNA from 1 species